rnacentral:rRNA from 1 species
ACCUUUACUAUAGCUUGACACUGAACAUUGAGCCUUGAUGUGUAGGAUAGGUGGGAGGCUUAGAAGUGUAGACGCCAGUCUGCAUGGAGCCGACCUUGAAAUACCACCCUUUAAUGUUUGAUGUUCUAACGUUGACCCGUAAUCCGGGUUGCGGACAGUGUCUGGUGGGUAGUUUGACUGGGGCGGUCUCCUCCUAAAGAGUAACGGAGGAGCACGAAGGUUGGCUAAUCCUGGUCGGACAUCAGGAGGUUAGUGCAAUGGCAUAAGCCAGCUUGACUGCGAGCGUGACGGCGCGAGCAGGUGCGAAAGCAGGUCAUAGUGAUCCGGUGGUUCUGAAUGGAAGGGCCAUCGCUCAACGGAUAAAAGGUACUCCGGGGAUAACAGGCUGAUACCGCCCAAGAGUUCAUAUCGACGGCGGUGUUUGGCACCUCGAUGUCGGCUCAUCACAUCCUGGGGCUGAAGUAGGUCCCAAGGGUAUGGCUGUUCGCCAUUUAAAGUGGUACGCGAGCUGGGUUUAGAACGUCGUGAGACAGUUCGGUCCCUAUCUGCCGUGGGCGCUGGAGAACUGAGGGGGGCUGCUCCUAGUACGAGAGGACCGGAGUGGACGCAUCACUGGUGUUCGGGUUGUCAU